UUGGUUUAAAUCAUUGUGGGUCUACACAUUGGAAAUAGAACUCAUGCAAAGUGGUAGGACAUGCAUUGAUUCCAUCCAA
rnacentral:pre_miRNA from 1 species